rnacentral:rRNA from 1 species
UACGUAGGGUGCGAGCGUUGUCCGGAAUUAUUGGCGUAAAGAGCUCGUAGGCGGCCUGUUGCGUCCGCUGUGAAAGCCCGGGGCUUAACCCCGGGUCGGCAGUGGAUACGGGCAGGCUAGAGGUAGGUAGGGGAGAAUGGAAUUCCCGGUGUAGCGGUGAAAUGCGUAGAUAGUCUGGAGGAACACCGGUGGCGAAGGCGGCAUCCUGGACCAACACUGACACUGAUGAGCGAAAGCCAGGGAGCAAACGGG